UACAGAGACUGCAAGCGUUAUUCGGAUUCACUGGGCGUAAAGGGUGCGCAGGCGGCCAAGUGUGUGAGGCGUGAAAGCCCGGGGCUUAACCCCGGAAUUGCACCUCAAACUGCAUGGCUAGAGCAUUGGAGAGGGUAGCGGAAUUCACGGUGUAGCAGUGAAAUGCGUAGAUAUCGUGAGGAACACCAGAGGCGAAGGCGGCUACCUGGACAAUUGCUGACGCUCAGGCACGAAAGCGUGGGGAGCAAAAGGG
rnacentral:rRNA from 1 species